rnacentral:rRNA from 1 species
UACAGAGGUCCCGAGCGUUGUUCGGAUUCACUGGGCGUAAAGGGUGCGUAGGUGGUGAGGUAAGUCGGAUGUGAAAGCUCGGAGCUCAACUCCGAAAUGGCAUUGGAAACUACCUUGCUGGAGGGUUGGAGGGGGGACUGGAAUACUUGGUGUAGCAGUGAAAUGCGUAGAUAUCAAGUGGAACACCAGUGGCGAAGGCGAGUCCCUGGACAACACCUGACACUGAGGCACGAAAGCUAGGGGAGCAAACAGG